rnacentral:rRNA from 1 species
CCUACGGGUGGCAGCAGUGGGGAAUAUUGCACAAUGGGGGAAACCCUGAUGCAGCGACGCCGCGUGAGUGAAGAAGUAUUUCGGUAUGUAAAGCUCUGUCAGCAGGGAAGAAAAUGACGGUACCUGACCAAGAAGCCCCGGCUAACUACGUGCCAGCAGCCGCGGUAAUACGUAGGGGGCAAGCGUUAUCCGGAUUUACUGGGUGUGAAGGGGGCGCAGACGGCAGCGCAAGCCAGGAGUGAAAGCCCGGGGCCCAACCCCGGGACUGCUCUUGGAACUGCGCGGCUGGAGUGCAGGAGGGGCAGGCGGAAGUCCUGGUGUAGCGGUGAAAUGCGUAGAUAUCAGGAGGAACACCGGUGGCGAAGGCGGCCUGCUGGACUGCGACUGACGUUGAGGCCCGAAAGCGUGGGGAGCAAACAGGAUUAGAUACCCCUGUAGUC